ensembl:snRNA U6 U6 spliceosomal RNA
GUGCUUGCUUCAGCAGCACAUAUAUGAGAAUUGGAACGAUACAGAGAAGAGUAGCAUGGCCCCUGUACAUGAUGACAUGCAAAUUUGCAAAGCAUUCCAUAUUUUA